CCAUAUCACAGUUUUUGUACGAUCGCCGAAGUUAAGAAACGUCGAGCCUGGUCAGUACCUAGAUGGGUGACUACUUGGGAAUACCAGGUGCUGUAA